UACAGAGGCCUCGAGCGUUAGGCGGAAUCACUGGGCUUAAAGCGUGUGUAGGUGGAUGCCUAAGUACCUUGUGAAAUCCCACGGCUUAACCAUGGAAUUGCUUGGUAUACUGGGUGUCUUGAGCCACUCAGGGGCUACCGGAACAAGCGGUGGAGCGGUGAAAUGCGUAGAUAUCGCUUGGAACGCCAAAGGUGAAAACAGGUAGCUGGGGGUGUGCUGACACUGAGACACGAAAGCCAGGAGAGCAAACGGG
rnacentral:rRNA from 1 species